AUGGCCCGUCAGGCCAUGAAGGGCUGGGGGGCGAACCUUGGUGCUGAUCUUCGGGCCCGUAAAGGGGCCCUGCUAGAUCAGAUUAAGGUGCUAGAUGGCGUUGUGGAUGGGCCGGGCAUGUCUCCUGACGACUGGAUUAGGAGAUACUCCCUCGAGGCCUCGCUCAUGGACAUUUACAAGAGCGAGGAGCUAUUUUGGUAG
rnacentral:rRNA from 1 species